UACCCGCUGAAUUUAAGCAUAUCACUAAGCGGAGGAAAAGAAACCAACAGGGAUGCCCCUAGUAAUGGCGAAUGAAGCGGGCAGAGCUCACGCCGGAAAUCCGGAGGCCACACGGUUGCCUCCUGAAUUGUAGUCUGGAGAGGUGCCAUCGGUCCCCCUCGGCGCCAAAAUCCCUUGGAACGGGGUAUCGGAGAAGGUGAGAAUCCUGUCAUGCGCCGGAGUGGGACCGUACGAUGUGCUCUCGUAGAGUCGGGCUGCUUGGGAGUGCAGCCUGAAGCGGGUGGUAAAUUCCAUCUAAAGCUAAAUACUGGCGGGAGACCGAUAGCGAACAAGUACCGUGAGGGAAAGAUGCAAAGAACUUUGAAAAGAGAGUUAAAGAGUGCUUGAAAUUGGCAGGAGGAAACCCGGUUGCGCGUGGCAUUUGGCGUGGUCGACUCAGCCGCGCGCGGAGACCUGUAGGGGACCUAACGGCCUCGUGGUCAGCGCGCGCGGUGCACUUCGGCCGCGUCGGUCAGCCGCGUUUCUGUGCGGCCCAGACGGCCGCGGGCAGGGCUUCGGCGCAGCCUGCGGUUUGGGGGUCGCGCGGGAUCUCGGCUGAUGCGCACGGGCGCAACCGACCCGUCUUGAAACACGGACCAAGGA
rnacentral:rRNA from 1 species